UAGGGAAUCUUCGGCAAUGGACGGAAGUCUGACCGAGCAACGCCGCGUGAGUGAAGAAGGUUUUCGGAUCGUAAAGCUCUGUUGUUAGAGAAGAACGUUGGUAGGAGUGGAAAAUCUACCAAGUGACGGUAACUAACCAGAAAGGGACGGCUAACUACGUGCCAGCAGCCGCGGUAAUACGUAGGUCCCGAGCGUUGUCCGGAUUUAUUGGGCGUAAAGCGAGCGCAGGCGGUUCUUUAAGUCUGAAGUUAAAGGCAGUGGCUUAACCAUUGUACGCUUUGGAAACUGGAGGACUUGAGUGCAGAAGGGGGGAGUGGAAUUCCAGGGGUAGCGGGGAAAUGCGUAGAUAUAUGGGGGAACACCGGGGGCGAAAGCGGCUCUCUGGUCUGUAACUGACGCGGAGGCUCGAAAGCGUGGGGAGCAAACAGG
rnacentral:rRNA from 1 species